rnacentral:rRNA from 1 species
GGGUAGCCGGCCUGAGAGGGUGACCGGCCACACUGGGACUGAGACACGGCCCAGACUCCUACGGGAGGCAGCAGUGGGGAAUAUUGCACAAUGGGCGCAAGCCUGAUGCAGCGACGCCGCGUGAGGGAUGACGGCCUUCGGGUUGUAAACCUCUUUCAGUAGGGAAGAAGCGAAAGUGACGGUACCUGCAGAAGAAGCGCCGGCUAACUACGUGCCAGCAGCCGCGGUAAUACGUAGGGCGCAAGCGUUAUCCGGAAUUAUUGGGCGUAAAGAGCUCGUAGGCGGUUUGUCGCGUCUGCCGUGAAAGUCCGGGGCUCAACUCCGGAUCUGCGGUGGGUACGGGCAGACUAGAGUGAUGUAGGGGAGACUGGAAUUCCUGGUGUAGCGGUGAAAUGCGCAGAUAUCAGGAGGAACACCGAUGGCGAAGGCAGGUCUCUGGGCAUUAACUGACGCUGAGGAGCGAAAGCAUGGGGAGCGAACAGGAUUAGAUACCCUGGUAGUCCAUGCCGUAAACGUUGGGCACUAGGUGUGGGGGACAUUCCACGUUUUCCGCGCCGUAGCUAACGCAUUAAGUGCCCCGCCUGGGGAGUACGGCCGCAAGGCUAAAACUCGAAGGAAUUGACGGGGGCCCGCACAAGCGGCGGAGCAUGCGGAUUAAUUCGAUGCAACGCGAAGAACCUUACCAAGGCUUGACAUGAACCGGUAACGCCUGGAGACAGGUGCCCCGCUUGCGGUCGGUUUACAGGUGGUGCAUGGUUGUCGUCAGCUCGUGUCGUGAGAUGUUGGGUUAAGUCCCGCAACGAGCGCAACCCUCGUUCUAUGUUGCCAGCACGUGAUGGUGGGGACUCAUAGGAGACUGCCGGGGUCAACUCGGAGGAAGGUGGGGACGACGUCAAAUCAUCAUGCCCCUUAUGUCUUGGGCUUCACGCAUGCUACAAUGGCCCGGUACAAAGGGGUUGCGAAACUGGUGAGGUGGAGCUAAUCCCAAAAAAGCCGGUCUUCAGUUCGGAUUGGGGUCUUGCAACUCGACCCCAUGAAGUCGGAGUUCGCUAGGUAUCGCAGAUCAGAUCUCACCUGGUGGAAUUUCGCGGGCCGCCGCCCUUGUC